rnacentral:rRNA from 1 species
UGAGGAAUUUUGCGCAAUGGGGGAAACCCUGACGCAGCAACGCCGCGUGAGUGAAGAAGGCUUUCGGGUCGUAAAGCUCUGUCAAGAGGGAAGAAAGCGGGAUAUGGUAAUACUGUAAUCCAUUGACGGUACCUCUGAAGGAAGCACCGGCUAACUCCGUGCCAGCAGCCGCGGUAAUACGGGGGGUGCAAGCGUUAUUCGGAUUUAUUGGGCGUAAAGGGCGCGUAGGCGGUUUAUCAAGUCAGAUGUGAAAGCCCUGGGCUCAACCUGGGAAGUGCAUUUGAAACUAGUAGACUUGAGUAUGGGAGAGGGGAGUGGAAUUCCUGGUGUAGAGGUGAAAUUCGUAGAUAUUGGGAAGAACACCGGUGGCGAAGGCGGCUCACUGGACCGAUACUGACGCUGAGGCGCGAAAGCGUGGGGAGCAAACAGG